AUGACCAGUGAUAAGAGUAUUUCAUAAACCAGGGAUUGUAAUUCAUCUAAUUUUGUGUAUUUAAGGUCCAGG
rnacentral:snoRNA from 1 species